rnacentral:rRNA from 1 species
UACAGAGGUGGCAAGCGUUGUUCGGAAUUACUGGGCGUAAAGGGCGCGUAGGCGGUCCGAUAAGUCCCGUGUGAAAUCCCUCGGCUCAACUGAGGAAUGGCACGGGAAACUGCCGGGCUUGAGUUCGGGAGAGGGAAGCGGAAUUCCGGGUGUAGCGGUGAAAUGCGUAGAUAUCUGGAGGAAUACCGGUGGCGAAGGCGGCAUCCUGGACCGAGAUUGACACUGAUGAGCGAAAGCUAGGGGAGCAAACGGG